UACGAAGGGGGCUAGCGUUGCUCGGAAUCACUGGGCGUAAAGCGCACGUAGGCGGGUCCUUAAGGCAGGGGUGAAAUCCUGGAGCUCAACUCCAGAACUGCCUUUGAUACUGAGGAUCUCGAGUUCGGGAGAGGUGAGUGGAACUGCGAGUGUAGAGGUGAAAUUCGUAGAUAUUCGCAAGAACACCAGUGGCGAAGGCGGCUCACUGGCCCGAUACUGACGCUGAGGUGCGAAAGCGUGGGGAGCAAACAGG
rnacentral:rRNA from 1 species